rnacentral:rRNA from 1 species
GAGUUUGAUCUUGGCUCAGGAUGAACGCUAGCUGGAGGCUUAAUACAUGCAAGUCGAGCGGGAUUGGUAGCAAUACCAUGAGAGCGGCGCACGGGUGAGUAACGCGUACACGACCUACCUCUGACAGGGGGAUAGCCCUGGGAAACUGGGAUUAAUACCGCAUAUUAUCCUGAUUAAUAAAGGAUUGGAAUGAAAGUUCAGGCGGUCAGAGAUGGGUGUGCGUCUGAUUAGCUAGUUGGUGGGGUAACGCCUACCAAGGCGAUGAUCAGUAGGGGGCGUGAGAGCGUGGUCCCCCACACGGGUACUGAGACACGGACCCGACUCCUACGGGAGGCAGCAGUAAGGAAUAUUGGUCAAUGGGACAAGCCUAGAACCAGCCAUCCAGCGUGCAGGAAGAAGGCCCU